AUUGAACGCUGGCGGCAGGCCUAACACAUGCAAGUCGAGCGGGGUUUUCGGACCUAGCGGCGGACGGGUGAGUAAUGCGUAGGAAGCUGCCCGAUAGAGGGGGAUACCAGUUGGAAACGACUGUUAAUACCGCAUAAUGUCUACGGACCAAAGUGUGGGACCUUCGGGCCACAUGCUAUCGGAUGCGCCUACGUGGGAUUAGCUAGUGGGUGAGGUAAUGGCUCACCAAGGCGACGCUUUCUAGCUGGUGUGAGAGGAUGAUCAGCCACACUGGAACUGAGACACGGUCCAGACUCCUACGGGAGGCAGCAGUGGGGUAUAUUGGACAAUGGGCGCAAGCCUGAUCCAGCCAUUCCGCGUGUGUGAAGAAGGCCUUCGGGUUGUAAAGCACUUUCAGCGAGGAGGAAGCGUUGUGUGUUAAUAGUACACAGCGUUGACGUUACCUACAGAAGAAGCACCGGCUAACUCUGUGCCAGCAGCCGCAGUAACAC
rnacentral:rRNA from 1 species